AUGCUACACUAUAAAUAUACGAAAAUGCUCCACUUACAGACCGCAGUUACGGAAACUCUCAUACGGACAGACUUGGCAGAGUCUAAUUCAUCACUCCCCCCUGAAUUUCAGCAUUGCUCCAUCAUUGGCAGUCUCCACCACCUCGUCGGCACCAAACUGCCGCCCCACCGCGCAUUCCUUCGCCUGGCACGCCGGCACGGCCCACUCAGGCUGCUGAGGCUCGGCGAAGUGCCCAGGAUCAUUGUGUCCACCCCUGAGGCAGCGAUGGAGGUGUUCAAGACGAGUGACCUCACCUUCGCGACCCGCCCGAGCGGUCCCACGCUGGACAUCGUCAGCUGCGGGGGCAAAGGCUUGGCCUUCGCGCCCUAUGGCGACCACUGGCGGCAGAUGCGCAAGCUCUGCGUCAUGGAGCUGCUCAGCACACGGCAGGUGCGCCGGAUGGACUCCAUCAAGCAAGCCGAGGUCACACACCUCAUGGAGUCGGUGGCUACCGCGUCUUCUGCCUCGGCGUCCGCCAUCAUCGACAUUGGCAAGGAGCUGGCCAGGCUGACAAACAACAUCAUCGCCAGGGCGGCGUUUGGCGGCAAGUGUCGGCAGCAGGAGGCGUACCUCCGAGAGCUCGCCGUGUUGGCUUCGCUCGUGGGAGGGAUCAGCCUGGUGGAACUCUACCCGUCGUCGCGGCUGGUGCGGUGGCUGACGGGUGAUUCCCGCGACCUGAGGAGGAGCCACGCCCGGAUACAACGAAUCCUGGCAGAUAUCAUCCAAGAGCGCAAGGAGAAGAAACAAAAUAAUGCCUCGGCUACUGCUACCGCUACUGGUACUCCUACUCCUACACCUAAAGAGGACGAAGACCUGCUGGACGUGCCUGCACGACGAAGACACUCUCAGUUUCCCUUUGACGUCGGAGAUCAUCGGGGCCGUCAUCUUUGA
rnacentral:rRNA from 1 species